rnacentral:rRNA from 1 species
UGUGAACUGCAGGACACAUGAACACCGACACGUUGAACGCAUAUUGCGCAUCGGACGUUUAAACCCGACCGAUGCACACAUCCUUGAGUGCCUACCAAGUUAUCUAUAUUCUCCUACCAAACUGACUGUCCCAUCCACAAGCGAUGGGCUGUCGCAGCAUGGCGUGCUCGGACCCGCAACCUGACGGGACCGUGGGCGCUGAAAGUGAGAGUGCUAAUAGAAGACAUUGGUGAGGUACAAUUGGUGAGCGAUGAACGGGCGCGCGACAAGACGCAACGGUUCGACCUCCAGUAUCAACCAGGGAUGAAACCCCCGCAGCCUAACAGAUAACACCAGGCGCUAGCAAAGGGGUCCCAGGUUGGCUCGGUCGUGUAACACUUGCGUCCCAACGCGUCCUUCAUUAGUGAGCACUUAGGCACGGGCUAUACACCGGCCGCCAUAACAACAGUAGGCCUCAAGUGAUGUGUGACAACCCCCAGAAUUUAAGCAUA